rnacentral:rRNA from 1 species
AUUGAACGCUGGCGGCAGGCUUAACACAUGCAAGUCGAGCGGAGAUGAGGUGCUUGCACCUUAUCUUAGCGGCGGACGGGUGAGUAAUGCUUAGGAAUCUGCCUAUUAGUGGGGGACAACAUUCCGAAAGGAAUGCUAAUACCGCAUACGUCCUACGGGAGAAAGCAGGGGAUCUUCGGACCUUGCGCUAAUAGAUGAGCCUAAGUCGGAUUAGCUAGUUGGUGGGGUAAAGGCCUACCAAGGCGACGAUCUGUAGCGGGUCUGAGAGGAUGAUCCGCCACACUGGGACUGGGACACGGCCCAGACUCCUAUGGGAGGCAGCAGUGGGGAAUAUUGGACAAUGGGGGGAACCCUGAUCCAGCCAUGCCGCGUGUGUGAAGAAGGCCUUAUGGUUGUAAAGCACUUUAAGCGAGGAGGAGGCUACUGAGACUAAUACUCUUGGAUAGUGGACGUUACUCGCAGAAUAAGCACCGGCUAACUCUGUGCCAGCCGCCGCCGUAAAAC